CGACCUACGGGGGGCAGCAGUAGGGAAUCUUCCACAAUAGGCGAAAGCCUGAUGGAGCAACGCCGCGGGGGUGAAGAAGGUCUUCGGAUCGUAAAACCCUGUUGUUAGAGAAGAAAGUGCGUGAGAGUAACUGUUCACGUUUCGACGUUAUCUAACCAGAAAGCCACGGCUAACUACGUGCUAGCAGCCGCGGUAAUACGUAGGUGGCAAGCGUUAUCCGGAUUCACUGGGUGUAAAGGGAGCGUAGACGGCGAUAC
rnacentral:rRNA from 1 species